rnacentral:pre_miRNA from 1 species
UCCAACUUUAAUCGUUCAUCUUAUUUUAAUUUUUUUAAAAAACUAAAAAAACAUAAGUAACGCAUAAAGUAUUAUUCAUGUUUUACAAUCUAAUAAAAAAUAGUAAUCAUAAAAAAAUUUAAAUAAGACGGACGAUCAAAGUUGGACAUGAAAACUUAUGGCUGCGCUUAU